rnacentral:rRNA from 1 species
AUUGAACGCUGGCGGCAGGCCUAACACAUGCAAGUCGAACGAGUUGCGGACGGGUGAUUAAUGUCUGGGAAACUGCCCGAUGGAGCGGGAUAACUACUGGAAACGGUAGCUAAUACCGCAUACCAUCGGAUGUGCCCAUAUGGGAUUAGCUAGUAGGUGGGUUAAAGGCUCACCUAGGCGACGAUACCUAGCUGGUCUGAGAGGAUGACCGGCCACACGGGAACUGAGACACGGUCCAGACUCCUACGGGAGGCAGCAGUGGGGAAUAUUGCACAAUGGGCGCAAGCCUGAUGCAGCCAUGCCGCGUGUAUGAAGAAGGCCUUCGGGUUGUAAAGUACUUUCAGCGAGGAGGCGUUACCCGCAGAAGAAGCACCGGCUAACUCCGUGCCAGCAGCCGCGGUAAUAC